GAUGAAGAACGCAGCGAAAUGCGAUAAGUAAUGUGAAUUGCAGAAUUCAGUGAAUCAUCGAAUCUUUGAACGCACAUUGCGCCCGCCAGUAUUCUGGCGGGCAUGCCUGUUCGAACGUCAUUUCAACCCUCAAGCCCAGCUUGGUGUUGGGGAUCGGCACAGGCGCCCUCGGGCGCCCGCCGUCCCCUAAAUCUAGUGGCGGUCCCGCUGCAGCCUCCUCUGCGUAGUAGUUUUCUCCUCGCAAGGGCAGCUCGGUGGCGACCUCGCCGUAAAACCCCCAACUUCUGAAAGGUUGACCUCGAAUCAGGUAGGAAUACCCGCUGAACUUAAGCAUAUCAAUAAGCGGAGGA
rnacentral:misc_RNA from 1 species